GACGAACGCUGGCGGCGUGCUUAACACAUGCAAGUCGAACGAAGUGGCGAACGGGUGAAUAACGCGUAAACACCCUGCCCUUCAGAGGGGGACAACAGGUGGAAACGACUGCUAAUACCGCAUACUGAAGGAGGGGAUUGCGUCGGAUUGGGUAGUUUGAGGGGUAACGGCCCACCAAGGCGAUGAUCAGUAGCCGGUCGGAGAGGGUGAACGGCCACAUUGGGACUGAGACAUGGCCCAGACUCCUACGGGGUGCAGCAGUGGGGAAUUUUCCGCAAUGGACGGAAGUCUGACGGAGCAACGCCGCGUGAGUGAUGACGGCCUUCGGGUUGUAAAGCUCUGUUGAUCGGGACGCGGUACCGAAAUAGAAAGCCACGGCUAACUACGUGCCAGCAGCCGCGGUAAUUC
rnacentral:rRNA from 1 species